ensembl:snRNA U6 U6 spliceosomal RNA
UUAGGAAUCAACAACUAUACUAAAACUGGAAAGAUACGGAGAAGAUUAACAUGGCUCCUGUGUAAGGAUGACAUGCAAAUUCAUAAUAUAUUUCAUAUUUUU